UACGUAGGGUGCGAGCGUUAAUCGGAAUUACUGGGCGUAAAGCGUGCGCAGGCGGUUCGUUGUGUCGGUGGUGAAAGCCCCGGGCUUAACCUGGGAAUGGCCAUGGAAACUGGCGAACUGGAGUGUGGCAGAGGGGGGUGGAAUUCCGCGUGUAGCAGUGAAAUGCGUAGAUAUCAGGAGGAACACCGGUGGCGAAGGCGGGUCUCUGGGCCGUAACUGACGCUGAGGAGCGAAAGCAUGGGGAGCGAACAGG
rnacentral:rRNA from 1 species